GACGAACGCUGGCGGCGUGCUUAACACAUGCAAGUCGAACGGAAAGGCCCUGCUUUUGUGGGGAGCUCGAGUGGCGAACGGGUGAGUAACACGUGAGUAACCUGCCCUUGACUUUGGGAUAACUUCAGGAAACUGGGGCUAAUACCGGAUAGGAGCUCCUGCUGCAUGGUGGGGGUUGGAAAGUUUCGGCGGUUGGGGAUGGACUCGCGGCUUAUCAGCUGGUUGGUGGGGUAGUGGCUUACCAAGGCUUUGACGGGUAGCCGGCCUGAGAGGGUGACCGGCCACAUUGGGACUGAGAUACGGCCCAGACUCCUACGGGAGGCAGCAGUGGGGAAUAUUGCACAAUGGGCGGACGCCUGAUGCAGCAACGCCGCGUGCGGGAUGACGGCCUUCGGGUUGUAAACCGCUUUCGCCUGUGACGAAGCGUGAGUGACGGUAAUGGGUAAAGAAGCACCGGCUAACUACGUG
rnacentral:rRNA from 1 species